rnacentral:rRNA from 1 species
AGUGAACGCUGGCGGCGUGCCUAACACAUGCAAGUCGAACGAUGAUGGAGGAGCUUGCUCUUCCUGAUUAGUGGCACACGGGUGAGUAAUGCAUAGAUAAUGUGCCCCUUAGUUCGGGAUAGCCACUGGAAACGGUGAUUAAUACCGGAUACUCUUUCUUGUCACAAGGCAAGUCGGGAAAGUUUUUCGCUAAGGGAUCAGUCUAUGUUCCAUCAGUUAGUUGGUGAGGUAACGGCUCACCAAGACUAUGACGGAUAUCUGGUUUGAGAGGAUGAUCAGACACACUGGAACUGAGACACGGUCCAGACUCCUACGGGAGGCAGCAGUGAGGAAUAUUGCACAAUGGAGGAAACUCUGAUGCAGCAACGCCGCGUGGAGGAUGACGCAUUUCGGUGUGUAAACUCCUUUUAUUAGGGAAGAUUAUGACGGUACCUAAUGAAUAAGCACCGGCUAACUCCGUGCCAGCAGCCGCCGUAAGAC